rnacentral:rRNA from 1 species
CCUACGGGAGGCAGCAGUGAGGAAUAUUGGUCAAUGGGCGGAAGCCUGAACCAGCCAAGUCGCGUGAGGGAAGACUGCCCUAUGGGUUGUAAACCUCUUUUGUCAGGGAGCAACGCCGGCUACGUGUAGCCGGACUGAGAGUACCUGAAGAAAAAGCAUCGGCUAACUCCGUGCCAGCAGCCGCGGUAAUACGGAGGAUGCGAGCGUUACCCGGAUUUAUUGGGUUUAAAGGGUGCGUAGGCGGAUUUUUAAGUCAGCGGUAAAAUGUCCGGGCUCAACCCGGGCCGGCCGUUGAAACUGGUGGUCUUGAGUGGGCGAGAAGUAUGCGGAAGGCGUGGUGUAGCGGUGAAAUGCAUAGAUAUCACGCAGAACUCCGAUUGCGAAGGCAGCAUACCGGCGCCCGACUGACGCUGAGGCACGAAAGCGUGGGUAUCGAACAGGAUUAGAUACCCCAGUAGUC